CCUACGGGAGGCAGCAGUGAGGAAUAUUGGUCAAUGGACGAGAGUCUGAACCAGCCAAGUAGCGUGAAGGAUGACUGCCCUAUGGGUUGUAAACUUCUUUUAUAUAGGAAUAAAAUGUUGCACGUGUGGGAUUUUGUAUGUACCAUAUGAAUAAGGAUCGGCUAACUCCGUGCCAGCAGCCGCGGUAAUACGGAGGAUCCGAGCGUUAUCCGGAUUUAUUGGGUUUAAAGGGAGCGUAGGUGGAUUGUUAAGUAAGUUGUGAAAGUUUGCGGCUCAACCGUAAAAUUGCAGUUGAUACUGGCAGUCUUGAGUACAGUAGAGGUGGGCGGAAUUCGUGGUGUAGCGGUGAAAUGCUUAGAUAUCACGAAGAACUCCGAUUGCGAAGGCAGUUCACUGGACUGCAACUGACACUGAGGCUCGAAAGUGUGGGUAUCAAACAGGAUUAGAUACCCGAGUAGUC
rnacentral:rRNA from 1 species